CGUUCCUGGAAGCUUCAUUUCUCCUUUCUCACUCGCCGCCGUUGAACUCUUCAGCUAUAUAUACCAUUUGCGCCCCCCAUUUCCUGUUCCAUUCCGAAUCUUUCAUUUUCUUAGAAUUCAUACCAUUGGUUUGAAAAAUUGUUCUAAAAGUUUCGUUCCCUAUACCGAAUCUAUAGCUUAAUCGAAGAUGAAUUCAAUGUCGAGCGCUAAAUCGUUCAGCUUCUCCAUUAUUGGAUUUAUGCUGAUGGCACUAAUCCAAUACAGUUUCGGACAAGGAAUGGCGCCAUCGCCGGCACCGAUUGGUCCUUCCAACGAUGGCACAGCAAUUGAUCAAGGGAUUGCAUACGUUCUCCUGUUUGUAGCACUCGCGAUUACAUACAUAGUCCACUAAUGAUAUCAUUUUUUUUCUGUUGAAAUUGUAUUGUUGUUGCAAUUUUAAUUCAUUCUUUCAUGUAUUUUCUCCUAUUAUUUUGAGGGCAUAAAUUUAAUUAUUUUUAUUUUUCAUCACUUGUAAAGAAAUAUAUUCAUUAGAAUAAUGCACAGUGGAUUGCAAUCUCAAUUUAGGCGGGGCUUAAA